rnacentral:rRNA from 1 species
GACGAACGCUGGCGGCGUGCUUAACACAUGCAAGUCGAACGGAAAGGCCCUGCUUGCAGGGUACUCGAGUGGCGAACGGGUGAGUAACACGUGGGUGAUCUGCCCUGCACUUCGGGAUAAGCCUGGGAAACUGGGUCUAAUACCGGAUAGGAGCCAUUUUUAGUGUGAUGGUUGGAAAGUUUUUUCGGUGUAGGAUGAGCUCGCGGCCUAUCAGCUUGUUGGUGGGGUAAUGGCCUACCAAGGCGGCGACGGGUGGCCGGCCUGUGAGGGUGGACGGCCACAUUGGGACUGAGAUCCGGCCCAGACUCCUACGGGAGGCAGCAGUGGGGAAUAUUGCACAAUGGGCGCAAGCCUGAUGCAGCGACGCCGCGUGGGGGAUGACGGCCUUCGGGUUGUAAACUCCUUUCGCUAGGGACGAAGCUUUUUGUGACGGUACCUAGAGAAGAAGCACCGGCUAACUACGUG